rnacentral:tmRNA from 1 species
CAGGUUGCGGCCUCAACGCUCUCCCCCUAUAUCGGUCCUGCCGUCCUUUCGGGGCCGGCUAUGGUGAUAAAUGAUAAUGAGUGAGGCGCAGCGGACCCGGGGGCGGUACCCGGCGGCUCCACCACAACCCGGACGCAAGACCGGGCUUCUGAUGGGGCCGAACUAGGAUCGACGUGUGUACGAGCUUGCUAUUUUUGCCCGGCCUGAUUGAGCCGUAAAACCGAUCAAAACCACAAGUGCCAACGACAACGAGGCGCUCGCCCUGGCCGCGUAACGAGUCCUAACGGAUAAGUUACUUCAACCAGAGCGCGGUUCGGGCCGAACCGGGCAACAGAAUCGGAUACC